rnacentral:tRNA from 1 species
GGCUACGUAGCUCAGUUGGUUAGAGCACAUCACUCAUAAUGAUGGGGUCACAGGUUCAAAUCC